rnacentral:RNase_P_RNA from 1 species
GCAGGUUUACAGCAGUUGCUAAUUCAUACGAUUUAGAGGAAAGUCCGAACACCUUAGGAUAGGAUGCCGGGUAAUUCCCGGAAGUUGUUUUGAGUAAUCUAACAACUAUGGAAAGUGCCACAGAAACAUACCGCCAUAGAGAUAUGGUAAGGGUGAAAAGGCCGGGUAAGAGCCGGCCCCUGUCUUGGUAACAAUACAGCCAUUACGGCUGGAGCAUAUGCUUCAGGCAGGCAAACCCCAUCCGGUGCAAGGUCAAGCAGGAAUCAGCCUUUUGGCAGGUGCUAUCCGCACUCUGGUUCCGGGUAGACCGCUGGAAGUAAGUUAAUAACUUGCUUUAGAUAAAUAACUGCUCUCCGCAAGGAUACAGAAUUCGGCUUAUGUAUUUCUGAGUUU